GUAGUUGUGGCCGAGUGGGUUAAGGCGGGACUAGAAAUCCAUUGGGGUCUCCCCGCGCAGGUUCGACUCCUGCCAACUACG